CCGAUUUACGGCGGUGGACUACCAGGGUAUCUAAUCCUGUUCGCUCCCCACGCUUUCGCUCCUCAGCGUCAGUAACGGCCCAGAGAACUGCCUUCGCCAUCGGUGUUCCUCCUGAUAUCUGCGCAUUCCACCGCUACACCAGGAAUUCCGUUCUCCCCUACCGCACUCUAGUCUGCCCGUACCCACUGCAGGCUGGAAGUUGAGCUUCCAGUUUUCACAGCAGACGCGACAAACCGCCUACGAGCUCUUUACGCCCAAUAAUUCCGGACAACGCUUGCACCCUACGUAUUACCGCGGCUGCUGGCACGUAGUUAGCCGGUGCUUUUUCUGCAGGUACCGUCACUUUCGCUUCUUCCCUGCUAAAAGAGGUUUACAACCCGAAGGCCUUCAUCCCUCACGCGGCGUUGCUGCAUCAGGCUUGCGCCCAUUGUGCAAUAUUCCCCACUGCUGCCUCCCGUAGG
rnacentral:rRNA from 1 species